CCUACGGGAGGCAGCAGUGGGGAAUUUUCCGCAAUGGGCGAAAGCCUGACGGAGCAAUACCGCGUGAGGGAGGACGGCUCUUGGGUUGUAAACCUCUUUUCUCAGGGAAGAAGUUCUGACGGUACCUGAGGAAUCAGCAUCGGCUAACUCCGUGCCAGCAGCCGCGGUAAUACGGAGGAUGCAAGCGUUAUCCGGAAUGAUUGGGCGUAAAGCGUCCGCAGGUGGCACUCCAAGUCGGCUGUCAAAGGUCGGGGCUCAACUCCGAACAGGCAGUGGAAACUGGAGAGCUAGAGUGCGGUAGGGGCAGAGGGAAUUCCCGGUGUAGCGGUGAAAUGCGUAGAGAUCGGGAAGAACACCAGUGGCGAAAGCGCUCUGCUAGGCCGCAACUGACACUCAGGGACGAAAGCUAGGGGAGCGAAUGGGAUUAGAUACCCCAGUAGUCCUAGCCGUAAACGAUGGAUACUAGGCGUGGCAUGUAUCGACCCGUGCCGUGCCGGAGCUAACGCGUUAAGUAUCCCGCCUGGGGAGUACGCGCGCAAGCGUGAAACUCAAAGGAAUUGACGG
rnacentral:rRNA from 1 species